rnacentral:rRNA from 1 species
GAUGAACGCUAGCUACAGGCUUAACACAUGCAAGUCGCGGGGCAGCAUGGGGGUUGCUUGCAAUCCCCGAUGGCGACCGGCGCACGGGUGAGUAACGCGUAUCCAACCUGCCCUUCACCACGGGAUAACCCGGCGAAAGUCGGACUAAUACCGUAUGUUGUCCAUUGACGGCAUCCGAUUUGGACGAAAGGUUUGGCGGUGAAGGAUGGGGAUGCGUCCGAUUAGCUGGACGGCGGGGUGACGGCCCACCGUGGCGACGCUCGGUAGGAGUUCUGAGAGGAAGGUCCCCCACACUGGAACUGAGACACGGUCCAGACUCCUACGGGAGGCAGCAGUGAGGAAUAUUGGUCAAUGGGCGUAAGCCUGAACCAGCCAAGUAGCGUGCAGGAGGACGGCCCUAUGGGUUGUAAACUGCUUUUAUGCGGGGAUAAAGUGGCCCACGUGUGGGUUUUUGCAGGUACCGCAUGAAUAAGGACCGGCUAAUUCCGUG